rnacentral:rRNA from 1 species
UACGGGGGGGGGGCAAGCGUUGUUCGGAAUUACUGGGCGUAAAGGGCUCGUAGGUGGCCAACUAAGUCAGACGUGAAAUCCCUCAGCUUAACUGGGGAACUGCGUCUGAUACUGGAUGGCUUGAGUUUGGGAGAGGGACGCGGAAUUCCAGGUGUAGCGGUGAAAUGCGUAGAUAUCUGGAGGAACACCGGUGGCGAAGGCGGCGUCCUGGACCAACACUGACACUGAUGAGCGAAAGCCAGGGGAGCAAACGGG